rnacentral:lncRNA from 1 species
GUGAGUUUGAGACAGGCCUGGGCUACAUAGACUAUCUUCAGGUCUCUCUUGUGUGUUAAAUGUCCUAAGCAACCAUUCAUCUAGGGUGGUCAGUUGCCAAAGGUGGGUACUAAGGUACAUCUCAAGUUUCCAUCUGAGACUCCAAGCCUUUUCUGACUUGACGUACCUCUACGUAGAUGCCUGCUUUCCUAGUGCCCACGGACGUACUCUCCCCUUUCAAUUUGAGUUAGCAGAGCCAAGGACAAUGGACAGG